UACGUAGGGGGCAAGCGUUGUCCGGAUUUAUUGGGCGUAAAGAGCGUGUAGGCGGUUUGGUAGGUCCGCUGUGAAAACUCGAGGCUCAACCUCGAGACGCCGGUGGAAACCAUCAGGCUAGAGUCCGGAAGAGGAGACUGGAAUUCCUGGUGUAGCGGUGAAAUGCGCAGAUAUCAGGAGGAACACCGGUGGCGAAGGCGGGUCUCUGGGCCGAUACUGACGCUGAGGAGCGAAAGCGUGGGGAGCGAACAGG
rnacentral:rRNA from 1 species